UUGGAAUGCGAUAUUUUCAUUUAACAAGGAAUAAAUAUCAUUGUCCUACUAUAAACUUGGACAAAAUCUGAUCAUUGGCCAGUGAGGAAACUAGAGAAUACUACAAAGACAAGAAAGAUGGUCCUGCACCUGUCAUUGAUGUUGUCAGAGCUGGCUAUUUCAAAGUACUGGGAAAAGGUCUACUCCCCAAACAACCAGUAAUUGUAAAGGCGAAAUUUUUCAGCCGCAAGGCCGAAGAAAAAAUUAAAGAAGUUGGCGGAGCCUGCAUUCUGGUGGCGUGAUUAAAUAAAUUAUUCAUUACAA